rnacentral:rRNA from 1 species
AGGAGAGACAUGCGCGCAUAUCAAUAAGCGGAGGAAAAGGCUGCGGAACUGAACGACCGCUACCUACGCUUAGGAUGUUGACACACGCGCGUGCUUGCGUCUAUACAUGACUCUGCGCAUAUCAAUAAGCGGAGGAAAAGAAACUAACAAGGAUUCCCCUAGUAACGGCGAGUGAAGCGGGAAGAGCUCAAAUUUGAAAUCUUCAAGGUUCUACCUUGACGAAUUGUAGUUUAAAGAAGUGCUUUCUGUUGAGGUUUUGGUAAAAGUUCUUUGGAAUAGGACAUCAUAGAGGGUGAGAAUCCCGUAUUUGACCUUUACUUUCAACUUUGUGAUACACUUUCAAAGAGUCGGAUUGUUUGGGAAUGCAGUCCAAAAUGGGUGGUAAAUUUCAUCUAAAGCUAAAUAUUGGCGAGAGACCGAUAGCGAACAAGUACCGUGAGGGAAAGAUGAAAAGAACUUUGAAAAGAGAGUUAAACAGUACGUGAAAUUGUCAAAAGGGAAGCGUUUGACACCAGUGUUGUUUUUCUGAAAAUCAAUUAAAGAACUGUUUAUGCUAAGUUGUUUAGACUCUAUCAGCUAUCUGUUUAGUUUUGAGCUUUUCUUUAAUGCACUUUUCAGUUAACAAGUCAACAUCAAUUUCUUUUGCUGUAAAAAAGCUUGAGGAAGGUGACUUGAGAUUCGUCUUAAGUGUUUAUAGCCUCUUGCCUAUGCAGUCGGAGAGAUUGAGGUCUGCAGCGUAGAUCCUUCGGGGCUAAAUGCAUUUGUGCUAAGUUAUAGCAUUUUAUAGACAACUUGUUGACUAUGAUUUGUCUUGUAGCUUACUCGCUUAUGUUAUUUUACCUACGCUUAGGAUGUUGAGCGCAUGUCUCUCUCU